GAAGAGAGUCGUAUAGCGGCCCAAUACGCCACCCGAACGUUACGACUAGUACGGAGAACACGCAGGUUCGAAUCCUGCCUCUCUUCA
rnacentral:tRNA from 1 species